ensembl:lncRNA
GAAAAGACUGCUCCCUGCACACACAUCUCGGGCGCCAGAGGAAAAAGCCAAAGACCAUCUGGAACCCUGGUGCACUGAAGCUCCCGGAAGGGGCGGCACAGGUCUUCCUGGUUGCUGCCGCUGCAGAGAGCCCCUGGGCAGCACCCCACGAGCGAACCUGAGCCUCGGGACCACAGGUCUCUGAUGGACUAGAGGCGCCAGAGUUCUGCUCCCCUCCCCGGAGAGCGCUGGGUCUCAGGAGUGCUGGAGGUGUGCGAGAAUACCGAAGAUAAAGUCCAUAGAACUCAAAAAGGUCAACAAGCUGAGGGACGCAAGGGCCCUCAGUGGCACUUGGGAGGGAGAAGAAAGCAACCAUAAGGGGGCUGGAGAGAUGGCUCAGCGGUUAAGAGCACCCGACUACUCUUCCAGUGGUCCUG